GGUUCGUCCGAAAACGGCAUCUGGACAGAUGUCGGCAGCUAUCAGGCCAUCAUUCGGGCCCGAGUCGAUGGCAAUGAUAGCGUGGAGCUGGCCUAUAAGCUGGAAGGAGUUUCAGCGCUGGCCCUGGACCAAGUGCGAUAUGUUCUACUACGCCCAUGGCAAGCGAAUCAAUGGAAAGAACAAGUGAACAACCUUACCGCCUAGGGAGGAUUUGUGUACUGGCUGGACGACAAGACCGGACUGGAGCGGAUCACUGUCAACGGAGAGCGUCGUUCCGCGGAGCUGCACCGUGUGAGGUGUGACAUGCAGUACUCAGGAUCUCUGCUCGUGCCCGAAGCAUCUGAUGCUACUGGAGGACAAGGAAAACUACAGCGUGUAGCCGGCCAGAUAAUUUUAAGUGGCGGGAGCAACAACGACCAACAGCCUUCUGGCGCAGUGACAAAGUUACUGCCCGGCGGAUCAGUUCAGCUGACAGUCAGCCGAGUGCAGCGACAAGGCUCUGAUCUGCGAUGGUACCACCUGCGACAACUGUGACAAUGCCCACGAUGAGGCCGACUGCUGCAAGCGGCCAUGAGACUUUCAGUGUCCCAUCAACAAGCUUUGCAUAUCGGCCGCGAGCCAAAGUAUCGAGCUCUAAUGGCUCCAUCGAAUAAGUUGGGACUUGUCGCCAUGUCGUAUAAAAUUAUGUGGGCAUGGCUAAAUGUUCUAUAUAGCUAGUAAUAUU